rnacentral:rRNA from 1 species
AGCGAACGCUGGCGGCAGGCUUAACACAUGCAAGUCGAGCGGGCAUCUUCGGGUGUCAGCGGCGGACGGGUGAGUAACGCGUGGGAACGUGCCUUCUGGUUCGGAAUAACUCAGGGAAACUUGAGCUAAUACCGGAUACGCCCUUUUGGGGAAAGGUUUACUGCCGGAAGAUCGGCCCGCGUCUGAUUAGCGAGUUGGUGGGGUAACGGCCUACCAAGGCGACGAUCAGUAGGUGGUCUGAGAGGAUGAUCAGCCACACUGGGACUGAGACACGGCACAGACUCCUACGGGAGGCAGCAGUGGGGAAUAUUGGACAAUGGGGGCAACCCUGAUCCAGCCAUGCCGCGUGAGUGAUGAAGGCCUUAGGGUUGUAAAGCUCUUUUAUCCGGGACGAUAAUGACGGUACCGGAGGAAUAAGCCCCGGCUAACUUCGUGCCAGCCGCCGCCGUAA